CUGGUUUGUGUUGGUUUACUUAGUGCGGCUGUUGAGUUUAAUUCGUAAUGGCUAUAAUACAGAAUGCAAUAAUUAAAGAGGGAUUGACAGUGACAACACGGGUGAAGUAGACCUUCAUAGAAAUCCAGCGUGCACAUGGUGUUUCCCAUCACAGUUUUGAACUGGCCCAGCUCCUUGCUGCACUGAAGCAGUUCCUCAGCAAGGGUGUAGUCCAGAGCUGGAAGAUUGUGUGUCCCUGUUCCCAGACUGAAGUGGUACAAGAUGUCAUCUUUCAGCCCACAGAGGUAAG